CUUAACCAUGAAUGUACAAGGUAUUUUUUAUAAGGUAGUAAGUAGUUUUUACAAAAUCUGGAAUCUUUAAAGUAGCUCAGAGAAACCUCCGCCUCCCGAGUUCAAGCAAUUCUCCUGCCUCAGCCUCCCGGGUAGCUGGGACUACAGGCGUGCACGACCACACCUGGCUAUUUUUUAUAUUAUAGGCUGGUCUUGAACUCCUGACCUCAUGAUCUGCCUGCCUCGACCUCCCAAAGUGCUGGGAUUACAGGUGUUAGUCACCAUGCCUGGCCGAGAAAAGAAGAUUUAAGAAAGGAAGCUAGAAGUUGUUCAUCGAAGGGAAGAGAAUCAGGAAAUGGUAAAAGUCACAGAUAUUAAGCAGAAAGUACUCAUUCCCUAAAGCCAGGAUUGAACCCUGGCCACCACUGUAAAAUGGUGGAGACCAAAAGAAAGGACUGCCACGUGGUUACAAGGUCAAGCUGCCAAGGACAUAAGACAAGAUGGAGACCUGCAGCACAGUUCGUUACUGACCAGUUUGCGGGGCUGGCUUGAACAGUGGGCUCAUGGGGUACUAGGCCAUGCUCUAUCCUCAGGUAUUCCUCCUUAUGACAGAACCAUGCAGAAAGACACACAAAGUACACCAGAUUGGCUGCAGCUUAAGAUUAGCCUCACAAAUCCUUUUUUUCCAUGCAUCAAAAUCUUACAGAGGAUAUAAACAGUGAUUUUCUCAUUCAUUCAACUGGUUUGCACAGGGAGAGGGAGACCAGAAGUCUGACUGGUAAGAAAUCUUUACCCUUUUGCUGGCAUUUCAGGCUUCUGAGUUCCCUUCACCCAAGCUCAAUUUUAAGCCAAGCAUUUUAAGGGUUGGGGAAAUUAACUCUUCCCAGUUUGGGGGACACAUCCAAGGGGAAUGUCCUAUGUUAGGUACAGGGACACAAUUACCCAUCCCCAAAGAGAGGACAGAGGAGGAAAAAGCAGAAAGAAGGCAUUUUUUUUUUCCAAAAGAAUCACAGUGAUUCAGGAGGCAUUUCAGAGAAGUACAGACUGAAGAAGAUUGGUUACCCAUCUCGAAAGAGGGGAAGAAAGUGUCCCUAGUUACUUUCUCUUCCCAGUGAAUACUCAGGGUAUGUGAGGGAGAGAAAGAAGAGGCAUCUCCAUUUGUUUUUUGGGUCCUUACAUCCCUGAGUCCCAGUGACCUUGGCAGGGUGCUGCCCAUGGGUGCCAAUGAGGCUUUCACCCAUGUUAACAGGGGGUGCCUAGGGGAUGGGAAUUAUCUGCAUUUGCCCACAUGCUGCCUGUCCCCCAUGCUAUCAGUAACCUUUGGGUUCCCCAGACCUCAUUUAUGGCAUGGAUACUAGCAUGACCUCUAUCCUUGAAAUAAGGGGGACUUAAUCAGCAGGAAUUAGUCAGUCACGCUCACCUGUGCUGUGCCCCUUGACUUCCAUUGUCAUCUGCCUCUGGAUCCCUCAGAUCCCGUUUUCCUUACUAGGGCUUCAGUCUGAAGCUUGGAAUUGAGUUUGAGACAAAAAGCUGCCUCAGGAGGGUUUAUGGACUCAUCAAGUCCCAGGUGGUCCUCACCAGACUGCAGCCAGCAGCCAACAGCCAACAGGGUCGCUCCUCUGCUGCUUCCUUAUUUUGCAACAACACACUUAAUGCUGUAAAAGAAGAGAUAGGAGCCACUUCAAACCAUGAAAGAAGAAAAGAAAAAUACCAUAGAAAAGUCUGCGGGUCUUGGCUGAUGCCAUAAUGGGGUGGUCAGGGGUGGAGCCAAGUCUAGGGGCCUCCUGGCAAUUAAGUCCUCGGCCAGAUGCCUUCAGUUGCCCCAGGACCUUAUUCUGGUUCCACGUGAUGGCUAGACCUCCAUGAAGGGAAACAAAGCCAACAUCUCUUUGACCUGAAAGAGAGAGAGAGGUGGCAGGGUUGUAUCCUGUCCUCUGUAACUGCGUCAUUCAUUCUUAAUUGGCUCACCAGAGGUUUGGUGCUUCAUCUGCCUUCAGAAAAAAGUCUGAGGAUGAGAAGCCUCAGAAACAAAGGUGAAAGAGGGUUUGGGACCACAUUUACUCACCCUCCAGGUAUCCCCAUAUGAGCCACCAAAAUGUUGCAGUCUUUCUGCUCCUCAGCUCAGCUAGGCCUGAGUUUUUGUCUCACAACCAGGAAGAAUUAGGUGUGCAGCUACUGGAGAGUGAGUGGAGUGAAUUCAUUAAGCAAAAGGAAAGCUGUCAGCAAAGAGUGGACCCAGGGGUGGUUCCCCUAUCCGAAGGUGGGAAAGGCCCCCCAUGUGAUUGGGUCUGGGGUCUUUUAUGGACUCAGAAUGGGAAGUGCAUGCUGAUUGGUUUGUGAGUAGGCAAAAAAGGUCAAAGUGAAGACACCACUCAAAGGUGGGCAUGGCAGUGUAGAAAACCAAUUAGGAAAGGGUAGGUCUAUGUAAAAUAGGUGAAGGGUGGGGAUCAAUCAGAGGAAAGUGCAACAAAUGGGAAGACAAGUUUGCAAACUGGUCCGAGGAUUUGACUUGUAGCUUUAGGCUUUAAACUGUCUUCGGCUUGAAGAUGGGGUUUCACCAGUGACCUGCCCCUGUCUGCCUAGGCAUUUGGCUGCCUUCUGCUGCUCUCAGCAGCAACCAUGUGGGGAUAGAGAGAGAGCCUUCCUUCUGUAUGUGCAGGUCCCUGAGUGCAGAGACAGUGAUGACUCCACACAGGCAAAGGCAGGAGAUGCUGGCCUGGAAGUAUCUGCAGAAGGCUCUCCCCUUGGCAUCAGGGGGUGCAGAGACGUUGGCUGAACCAAGAGCUUGCUGAAGGAAGUUUUUUCUAUAUUCCAGACAUCUGAGGGUUCAUCACCAAGAGAGGAGGCCUUGUGAGCAGUGCUGAUCUGGGAAGAAGGAAAUAUGGGCAGAGACAGAGAGGUCAGGGUGACAGCAGGAGCCCAGGGGACUGAGGGAAAAAAAUCACAUUAUUUAGGAGAAGGCAGAGGAGUUGAAGAGAUAGGUUUGGAGCUGACAACUUGGGUUGAAUGCUGCAAGAAAGAGGACUGUUCAUGUAAUUCAGAGUCAAAUACUUAGAGAGGACAGUGGACCAGCAUGAAGGCAGUGGGCUCCCCGGGAGAGGUGUUCCUGCCUGGAUUUAGAGCUUGUGGCUAAAUGAAUAUGGUAGGCAAAAUAAGGCCCCCAAAGAUAGCCACAUGCUAAUUCCUCAAACCUGUGAUCACGUAACCCUAUGUGGCAAAGGGGAUUUGGCAUAUGUGGUUCAAUGAAGGACCUUGAGAUGGGGAGAUUAUCCUAAAGUGUCCAGAUGGGCCCAAUCUAAUCACAUGAAUUGUUUAAAUCAGAGAAACUUUCCCAACUGUGGUCAGAGGGAGACGUGAUCACACACACAAAAAAAGUCAGAGAGAUGCUGGCUUUGAAGACGGAGGAAGGGGCCACAGGGAAUGGAGUGUGGGCAGCCUCUAGAAGCUGAAAAAAAAUCAUGAGGAAAUGGAUUUUUCCCGAGAGCCUUCAGAAAGGGGUGCAGCCUGUGACACUUUGACUUUAGUCCAGUCAGACCUGGCUAAAACUCUGACCUACAGCACUGCAAGGAGUUGGUGGGGUUGGUUUUUUGUUGUUGUUGUUUGUUUUUUUCGUUUUUGUUUUUGAGACAGAGUCUCGCUCUGACACCCAAGCUGGAGUGCAGUGGUGCGAUCUUGGCUCACUGCAACCUCUGCUUCCUGGGUUCAAGCAAUUCUCCUGCCUCAGCCUCCUGAGCAGCCUCCUGAGCAGAUUACAGGCAUGUGCCACCGUGCCCAGCUAAUUUUUUAGAUACCCAGCUAACUUUAAUAGAUACCAGGUUUCACCAUGUUGGCCAGGCUGUCCUUGAACUCCUGACCUCAAAUGAUUUGCCCACCUUGGCCUCCCAAAUGAUCUGCCCACCUUGGCCUCCCAAAGUGCUGAGAUUACAGGCAUGAGCCAUUGUGCCUGGCCUGUGUUAUUUUUAAGUCACCAUCUUUGUAGUGAUUCGUAACAGCAGCAACAGGAAACUCUUCUCUCCACCCACACCCUGCCCUGGCCACCAGCUCCGCCUCCCCAGUGUCUCUGUCCCCACUGCUUCUACCCAGACCAGCUCCUCCCUUCCUCUUUUCUGAACCACUGGCAUACCUACAGCUGGGCCACCUGCUUAGUGCUGCUCCCCUUUAGUCCACUCUGCUAGGUGCUUGAGUUAUCUUCCAAAAACCCAACUUAGAUGAGGACAAUUUCUACUGAAUACUGGUUUUAGUUUCUGUUACUUAAGGAGGUGUGUCCAGAUGUCCCAACUUGGCAUUCAAGCCACAGCUUCCUUCUUGGUCUUCUCUGCCGCUCUCCUUCUUGCCAUGUGCCAGGCAAACAUGUCUCCACACCAGUUCUCUGUGUCCUCCCUCUCCUUCACCACCUCUCCAGCGUUUCCCAUGUCGCCUGGACUGCCUUUCAUCCUCCCUAGUCUAGACAUGCUCAAGGGAUAUUGCUGCUCUUAAGUCACCCCUGCUGGGUAAUAAGAUCUAAAAUUACCCUCUAUAAGACUGCUCACAGCGUCAAGUGGCAUUUUCUGGGGUGAGAAGACCUCAUUCUAUCUUGUUUGCUGACUGCUUUACCAUCUGGCCUCCCCCAGUCCAUGCUAACUCUUCAGGACAGGAAUGGGUCUUGCUUUUCUACAUAUUUCCUUGAGAAAUGCCAGUGGAGAGUGUGCCUUAGUCUGUUCCAGCUGCUGUAACAAAUUGUGAUAGACUGGGUGGCUUAAACAACACAAAUGUAUUUAUCACAUACUGAAGGCUAGAAGUCUGUGAUCAGGGUGCCAGCAUGGUCAGGUUCUGGUGAGAUCCCUCUUCCUGGUUUGCAGAUGGCUGUUUUCUUGCAGUGUUCUCACAUGGGGGAGAGCAGAGACAGGAAGCUCUUGUAUCUCUCUCUCUUUUAUUUUUUUUCACCGAAUCUCACUCAGUCACCCAUGCUGGAGUGCAGUGGUGCGAUCUCAGCCCAAUGCAACCUCUGCCUCCUGGGUUCAAGUGAUUCUCAUGCCUCAGCCUCAUGAGUAGCUGGGACUACAAGCAUACACCACUGCAUCCAACUAAUUUUUGUAUUUUUCCUAGAGACGGGGUUUCACCAUGUUGGCCAGGCUUGUCUCGAACUCCUGACCUCAAGUGAUCCACCUGCCUCAGCCUCCUAAAGUGCUGGGAAUACAGGCAUGAGCCACCGUGCCUAGCCUCUUGUAUCUCUUCUAAGAGCACUAAUCCCAUUCAUGAGGGCUUCACCUUCAUGACCUAAUUCACCUCCUAAAGACUUCACCUCGGCCGGGCACAGUGGCUCAUGCCUGUAAUCCCAGCACUUUGGGGGGCUGAAGUGGGUGGAUCACGAUGUCAGGAGUUCAAGACCAGCCUGGCCAACAUGGCGAAACCCCGUCUCUACUAAAAAUACACUAAUUAGCCAGGCCACGCUACUUGGGAAGCUGAGGCAGGAGAAUUGCUUGAAACCAGAAGGCAGAGGUUGCAGUGAGCCGAGAUCACGCCACUGUGCUCCAGCCUAGGCAACAAGAGCAAAACUCCAUCUCAAAAAAAAAAAAAAAAAAAAACUUCACCUCUUAACACCAUCACAUCAGGGGUUAGGAUCUCAACAUAAAUUUGAGGGGAACAAACAUUCAUUCAGUAGGUAACAGAGGGUGAGCUUAAGUAGCUCAUAGAAAGAGGCAGAGUGGUGGAGACAUCUAAGACCUUUGGAAAAUAAUCCCAAUGGCUACUUUCUACUGCACUUGACAGUUGUCUAAUCAUGUACAAAUCUAUGAGCACAUUUGUGUCUCUCAAGCUGGUUUUACCAAGAAUCUUUAAAUCCAACUGCUGACAUUUACUAAGCACUUGGACUUUAAAACAAACCCCAGGAGGCAGGGAAAAUGCCAAAAGUUUCCCUACAGCUCACUAAAGGGAAGCAAAAAUAAAUUAGAAAAAAAAAAUUAAAAAGGAAGUUGUCAUUCAAAGUUGUCAUUCUCACAAAUGUCAGCUGGUGGAACUGCUACACACAAAUUACACUGUUAACUCCUCACCGUCAGCCUCCGAGACCAUGAUCAUUCUCCCUCCUGAAACAAUGAAAGCAUGGCUUUGAGAAGAGGCGUACCACCUGAGGUUCUGUGGCCAGGACAUGGCAGACUGGGACUAGAGCUGGACAUUUUGCCCCAAGGUGAUGGAUCCCAUCCUGAGCCUUAUACACUUGAGGAAUUUUCUCUACCUUCCUCACACAGAAGCCACUUGCUCACUUGUGUUCCAUCUUGUGUGCUUGAGCUGACAUGUGCAUACACCACCUGUUAUGGGCUGAAGUGUGUCCCUGCCCCAAAUUUAGAUGUUGAAGUCCUCACUCUCAGCACCUUAGAACCUAACCAUGUUUGAAGAAAAAAUCUUCUGAGAGGUAAUUAAGCUACAAUGAAGGCUUCAGGGUGGGCCUUAAUCCAAUGUGACUGGUGUGCUUAUAAGAAGAGGAAAUUUGGACCCAUGGAAAGACAACAGAAGCAUACACAGACAGAGGGACACCGCGUGAAGACACUGUGAAAAGGUGGCCAUCUGCAAGCCAUGGGGAGAAGCCUUGAGAGAAACUAGCCCUGCCAAUGCCUUGAUUUUGGACUGCUAGCCUCUAUAACUGUGAGAAAAUAAAUCUCUGUUGUUUAAGCCACUCUAUCUGUGGUACUUCCUAAUGACAGCUUGGUAUAGUUUGGAUUUGUGUCCCUGCCCAAAUCUCAUGUUGAAUUGGAGGAGGGGCCAAGGGGGAGGUGAUUGGAUCAUGGGGGCGGGUUUUUCUCAUGCUAUUCUCGUGAUAGUGAAUAAGUCUCACGAGAUUUGAUGGUUUUAUAAAGGGGAGUUCCCCUGCACAUGCCUUUUGCCUGCCACCAUGUAAGACAUGACUUUGCUCCUCAUUCACCUUCCACCAUGAUUGUGAGGCCUCCCAAGCCAUGUGGAACUGUGAGUUGAUUACACCUUUUUCCUUUAUAAAUUACCCAGUCUCAGGUAUGUCCUUAUUAGCACUGUGAGAACAGACUAGUACAGAAACAUAGAAACUGGGGGCUGGGGAGUUGCUCCCUGGGGUACCCUCCAAUUGGUGGUCCCAUGAGGCAGGGGCUGUGUCAGGGCUGCUGAGCACACAACAGUGCUCGGAGGUCAUCGGCAGGUGCAGAGCUGAACAGUAUGACUGGCUUGGACUCUUAUGGACUUGGGCAGAAGAGGAGCCUGCAGCCCAUAGGAAUGGGUGGUUUUGCACAAAGGACACUUGUUAGCAGCCCUCAGCCUCAGCCCAGCAUGGCCCAGCCUGGUGAUGCCACACACGGUGCCACCAUGGCCACAGAGCAGCAGAACGGGGUUGGAUUUCAUUAGCUGUGACCCCUGUGACCAGAGCUGCCCUCUGUCCCUCAGACACAAGUAUUUUAAAAGGAAAGUUUUAUUAUUAAUCAGGUACAGUGAGGCCAACAGAUCAGGAGAUGGAUGCCAUUGAAAAGGAAUAGUGCUACACUCACAAAUCCCAGGAGAAGGGGCAGGACACACUAUGGGGCAGGGGGUAUGGGGAGUGGGGGUGGGCACUCGGGGAAGCACCAGGGCCUGGCAGGAGGGGGAGGGGGAGGGGGAAAUGGGCAGGAAACUUUAUUGUGGUUUCCAAGGGAGCAAACAGGUAAGUCAGGCCCAGCAGGCGGAGGGCUGGCUGGUGUGCCUCAUUCCAGUGGGCUCUGGGGUUGUAGGGCUGUCCCUAGUUGUCUGGUUCCUGGCCCUAAGGUAGCUAGGGCAAGAGAACAGUGGCCCAGAGUGUGAGAGCCCCAUAGAGGAGGGGGUUGUGGGUGUGUGGUUGGGAUUGGUUGGUUUGCUUGUGUGAGUUCUUGUGGGAAACUUGUUUGCUGUUUGGGGGAACUGGCUAACCCUGAGAGGGACUCAACCAGCAAAACCAGUAAGUACUCACUGUUCAUCAAAAAAAAAUGCUUCAUCUCUUUGAGCUUCAGAUGCCUCAUUAAAACUAGGGAAAUAAUGCUGACAGCUGACUUCUCAAAAAGAACCUCAGGAAAGUAUACUAGAAGGUAGGGUGCCCACUACCUGCACAGUCUCAGAAGGUAGGAGUAGAAAGAAGGGUAUUGACAGGGCUUUCUCUUCUGAGCUGUGUGAUUUUAAGGCAGCUCUUGAAAGACUGGACCUUUUGAUCAGUGUGCACUGUCAGGCUAGGGUCUUAGAGUGAGUAAUGAUUAGCAAGCUUUUGGUCUUGAUAAGAAAACAGGGCAGCAGCUUUGUUUUCCAGCAGGAAGUAUUUCCUAGAGCAAGCAACUAAAUUAUUUUUCCUAGUUUCAGUAUUGUUUAGCACAGAAACAGGAAGUAUGCUAGUUUCAAUAAUAAUAAUAAUAAUAAUAAUAAUAAUAAUAUUUACUCAUAGGAUUAUUAGGAAAGUCAGGUGAAAUUAUGUAGGAAAUGUGCUUAGCAGAGUCUCUGCUUAAUAAACGUAGCUAUUAAUUAGGGUGAGGCAGCAAAUAACCAGAGCAGAAUGUGAUGAAGCCAUUUGGGUAGGGUGAUCCAUUAUCCUGGUUUAUCUGAGAUUGGAGGUGUUUUGGGAUGGGGAAUUUCAGUGCUAAAACCAGGAAAAUCCCAGGCAAAUGAUGUCAAGUUGGUUAAUCUCGGUUCAAGACAGGAAAACCCAAUUGUUGCACAUAAAUUUUUUGGAAUUUAACUUGGAUUUUUUCUUUUAAGCAUCAGAAAUGUCUAAUAAUGUUUGUGAGUCCCAGAAUAGAACAUGUGGUCCUUAGGGAGUAGGGAGUAAGGUUUCCCAAGUAGCAGAGGCCCUAUCCUGCGGCAGGUGUUUGCUAGAAUCCUGCACUGGGGCCUUUGCUGAGGGUGCUGAGAUAUCCCUUUGGAAGCAUCUCGAAGGCUGCAUUGGAAAUAAAUAAGCCCCGGGAGGAUCACACUGCAGGUGAAACCUGAGACCCUAAGCCAGCCAGAAUCACCUUGGUAUGACAAGCAGAGCUCUGCCUCUUUCUCUCAUUUCUCUCUUCUGUUCAAAGAAAAAACUGAACUGGAAUGAAGAAGCACCCAAAACUGGGGUUAAAAACUAGAUAUUUUGGGUUCAAAGUGAGGUUUUUCUGUCCCUCUUUUUGCACAUAUGGAGCCCAACACUGCUUAGUGAGCUGCUUCUUGCCAAAUGCUUGGACAGCACCAGCCCAUUUAGUUCUCACCAGUGCCCUGCAAGAAGUGUACUAUUACCUUCACAUUACACACCAGGAAAUUAAGGUUGGGAGAGGUUAAGGGACUUGCAAAAGGUCACGGAGCUAUGAAGGGAUGGGGAGCUGGGAUUCAAAUUUGGGUUUGUAAGGAGAGAAGAGACGUCUUUCUUCUCAGCCUAGUAAGUGUGGGAGAUCAACCGCAGGGUGAUCGGAUCUCCAAGAUGAAUGAGUCAACAGGACUUUCAAAGCACUAUCUGAAGGUAAACAAGUCAGUAUCAUCUCUCCUUAGGGUCUGUGAGUUACUUUUGCUCUCUUGAGGGAGAAACUGAAAUCUACACCGAAUUGAGCGAAUUGAGCCCAAAGCAGGGGCUCAAGUUUCUCUCAGCCUUCCUUUGCUUACAGCCCUGAGGGGAUCCUGGCUGGGUGCUAUUUCCAGGAGGGUCUCUCCCUCAGCAGGGAAAGGAGAGCAGGAUUUGCAGAAGCUCCAGUUGGAGACAGAGCCCUGGGGGCGGGGGUUGGUGGAUAGGGGUAGGCACUUGGCUUAAGCCAGAUCUGAACUGUUUCCUUCUAUCCUGCUCCUGGGGCAGGAGGCCCCCUGCAAGGCCCUAACUAUACUGAUCUUAUCUCCUCCUGGGGAAUUUUCCCACAGGGAGGCAGGAAAGGUCAGCAGUGUGUCCUGAGAGCCCUAAGGCAGGCCCACCCACUUCUACCACAUGAGUGCUUUGGGAGAGGUACUGGAGGCCACACCUGUAAACCCAAUAGGUCCUUUUAAUACAUACCAGGGAGCUGCAACUGGGGGAUGCCACCGUGGUGCUGGGCCUGCAAGGGAGCCCCCAGGAGACUCUAUUAAGCUCCCAUUUGACAAGUUUUAAAACUGGCCCAACCCAGGCAUGUGCACAGGAUCAGAAGCCCCAUCUCUCUAAAUUACUAGGUUGAAAUGCCACAUCUUAACGACUCAUGCACCGUCCACACUACUGCUGCGGUAUCUGUGUCCCACCAGGGCUGUGUUUGAUUUUUUAAAUGAACUCGAUUUGUUUUAUUGUUUUGUAAUUUGAACAUGUAGAGAUGGAGGUAAAUAGAAAACCGGCAUCUGUGUAUUACACAUAGAAAGUCACCAUAAAAAUAAACACAAUGAAUACUCUUCAGCAAAGGGAAUGAAAAAUCUACAACUACAUACCACUGAACACAAAUGGAAAUCACCAACAGGUUGAGGGAGAGAAGCUGAGCCCAGGUUUGGAGGGGCAUUGGAAAGGAAAUGACUUUCUCACUGUGCAAUGCCAGGCUUUGUUCAAGCAUUUGGGAAAACAAUGAGGAGGCAGCUUAUUCCCAGCUCCAGGCAGGAGGAGACCUGCAGAGGGUGAGAUUCUCAGGGGAGGAACUGCCAGAAGCCUAAGAGCCUUUUUCCAGAGCUGCCUCCAGGAGAGAAGGUGAUCUACCUGGCUCCGGAUCAAGUCCUUUCUGCUCAGAACAAGCUUUCUGCACUUGUAGGGUGGGUGAUUUUAGAGAUUUGGAGAGUCAAUCUUUGCUUCUUUCCUUUUUUCUCUCUCUCCUUCCCAGUCCCACCCACUCUAAUCCCAGCUCCUGUUUGUCCAAGCCCCUCAAGCAAGACUCUCUUUAGUGAGUGAAAGCUGACAAUGUGAGUCUCAGCCUCCUUCCCAGGAGCAGCUAAGCUGACAGAUCCUUGAUCUUGAGAAGCCCUCGCAGCUCC
rnacentral:lncRNA from 1 species